GACGAACGCUGGCGGCGUGCUUAACACAUGCAAGUCGAACGGUAAGGCCCUUCGGGGUACACGAGUGGCGAACGGGUGAGUAACACGUGGGUGAUCUGCCCUGCACUUCGGGAUAAGCCUGGGAAGCUGAGUCUAAUACCGAAUAUGAUCAUCAGCUUCAUGGUUGGUGGUGGAAAGCUUUUGCGGUGUGGGAUGGGCCCGCGGCCUAUCAGCUUGUUGGUGGGGUAAUGGCCUACCAAGGCGACGACGGGUAGCCGGCCUGGGAGGGUGACCGGCCACACUGGGACUGAGAUACGGCCCAGACUCCUACGGGAGGCAGCAGUGGGGAAUAUUGCACAAUGGGCGCAAGCCUGAUGCAGCGACGCCGCGUGAGGGAUGACGGCCUUCGGGUUGUAAACCUCUUUCAGCACAGACGAAGCGCAAGUGACGGUAUGUGCAGAAGAAGGACCGGCCAACUACGUGCCAGCCGCCGCGGUAA
rnacentral:rRNA from 1 species